CUUAUUGGAGUGUGGAACUCGCCUUUUGCUGGAGCUUAAGGACUUGUGUAUUUGGAUUCCUCUCCUGGAGACUCUCACUUGGAAACCAACCAUCCUCCGUCCUGCCACUCUCUCUCUCUGCCUCGGACCUGGAACACAAACGGACACCGAAACCUGAAACACUUACCUCCUGGAUUUCCCUUGCCUCCAACUCCGAGUUGACCUCCCUCCCAAGAGCCUGACGAACCCACUGCUUUGCAUUCACUGUAAAUAAACAUCAUUUAACUUUU